rnacentral:rRNA from 1 species
AUUGAACGCUGGCGGCAGGCCUAACACAUGCAAGUCGAACGAGUGGCGGACGGGUGAGUAAUGUCUGGGAAACUGCCCGAUGGAGGGGGAUAACUACUGGAAACGGUAGCUAAUAACGCAUACCAUCGGAUGUGCGCAGAUGGGAUUAGCUAGUGGGUGGGGUAACGGCUCACCUAGGCGACGAUCCCUAGCUGGUGUGAGAGGAUGACCAGCCACACUGGAACUGAGACACGGUCCAGACUCCUACGGGAGGCAGCAGUGGGGAAUAUUGCACAAUGGGCGCAAGCCUGAUGCAGCCAUGCCGCGUGUGUGAAGAAGGCCUUCGGAUUGUAAAGUACUUUCAGCGAGGAGGCGUUACUCGCAGAAGAAGCACCGGCUAACUCCGUGCCAGCAGCCGCGGUAAUAC